GUUUUUGUACUCAUCUGUUUAAUCUAGUUCUGCCACUUCUUCUUGAACUUCUUGUUAGAUUUCAAGUCUGUAUUUUGUGUCCGUGACAGUUUGUCGAGACUACACUAACUUGACAUAUCAGAGUUAGUUCUUUCUUAGUAGAGUGUGGAUUACCCCUCUACUUGAAGAUAUACUAGCAUUUUUUAGAGGUUGCGGAUUACCCUCCUCUAAAUUGAUACUUCUUCUGUUACAAUAUUGGAGUCUUAUUCUUCUUGGAGAGAGUGGAUUACCCCUCUUCUUGAAAUUUUUAAGGCAUUUUAUAGGUUGUGGAUUACCCUCCUAUAAACCAAUAUUGCCU
rnacentral:lncRNA from 1 species